rnacentral:lncRNA from 1 species
UCAUUUCGUAUAAAAAAAGCUUCACAUUCCCAAAAAGCAGAAAAAAAAACAAAAAAAACAUAAACAAAAACAAAAAUAACCAAUCCAAACUAAAAAAAAGAAAAAAUACCAAAAAAAAAAAAGGUUCAACAAAAAAAAAAGGCAACUUGUUAUAAGAAUCCUUACAUUCGUAUAUGAACCAUAAAAAUACGCAUGAAUCUGAUGCCUGGCUCCCCCUGUCUGCCUUUCUUCACUGUAUAUUUAUAUACACCCGCACAAACCGCAUAAAAAUACGGUCCCCAUCCUAUAUUUUCAGCGUCUUCGUCUAACCCCGGCCAAGAAGCACCUUACUUUGGAGGCGCCGCCAUAUUUGGCGGAGAAACCGCGGUGGCCUCGCCAAUUUUGGCGGAGAAAAGAGAAACCUCACCAUUUCUGGAGGAGGAGACGGGGGGCCGCAGUUUUUGGCGAAGGUUUUCGCAGCGGUAUUUAGUAGUGGAGAGACAAGCGGCUCUUUG